UGGGGAAUAUUGGACAAUGGGCGAAAGCCUGAUCCAGCCAUGCCGCGUGUGUGAAGAAGGUCUUCGGAUUGUAAAGCACUUUAAGUUGGGAGGAAGGGCAGUAAGCGAAUACCUUGCUGUUUUGACGUUACCGACAGAAUAAGCACCGGCUAACUCUGUGCCAGCAGCCGCGGUAAUACAGAGGGUGCAAGCGUUAAUCGGAAUUACUGGGCGUAAAGCGCGCGUAGGUGGUUCGUUAAGUUGAAUGUGAAAGCCCCGGGCUCAACCUGGGGACUGCAUCCAAAACUGGCGAGCUAGAGUAGGGCAGAGGGUGGUGGAAUUGCCUGUGUAGCGGUGAAAUGCGUAGAUAUAGGAAGGAACACCAGUGGCGAAGGCGACCACCUGGGCUCAUACUGACACUGAGGUGCGAAAGCGUGGGGAGCAAACAGG
rnacentral:rRNA from 1 species